rnacentral:lncRNA from 1 species
UGUAAACCCUGGAGCAAACAUCUUACUUCAUUAAAUGAUGAUUCAAGGGUAAUAUUUAUAGUAGGGAAAAGCAAAUACUGGAUCAAUUCCAAAGAACUCCAAAAUGAAAGAAAUAUGUAAGAAGACAUUUUUCAACGUGUAUUCGUUGACUCUAUACAAUUGUAGUUGCUCACAAGUUCGUAUCAGAUACUUCUUACCAAGUUUAGAAUAGAAAUAGAUGUGUGAUACGCGCGUACCUUUGUAAAAGAGGGGAUUUCUAGAAAAAAAUAAUAUUCUUUAUGGAUAUGGACUUCACACAAGUUUCCUAGGAAUAUUUAAAAAAACAAAACAUGUUUGGUGGAGGACAACAGGUGUUGUAGUACAAACAAGAUGUCGGAGAAAGCAUUUGAAUAUAUAUGUAUUGAAGUAAGGCUGCUCGAGGACGAAAAAGAGAGGAUUAUUAUUUCUAGAUUAGAUUUCAAAUUGACUCCAAGGCAAGAACGAGGAUUAUGUGAUGUUGUUGUUUUCAUUGUGAGUAUAUAUAAAAACUAUGCCCAAUGCAUCUCAGCCCUCCAAUGCUCCUUUGAACGACCUCAAACUAAUGAUGCUGUUAAUCGAAUAUUCUUCAAUUAAUUGAAAUAUUUUCAAAUCCGCCUCAUGCAAAUUUCCCAAACAUUUAUGGUAUUUGUCGGAGAAACUUGUAGGACUUGCUUUCUUCGAUGAUAGAGAAAGUUUAACUACAAAAAGAAAAAUGCUUGGCUCUCUCAAAUUUAAGCAUAGGAUGCCAAAAAACUUAAUAAAUGAUUUUUUACAUAAAAAUAUUUCAUUUCCUACCCCAAAAACAUAUAACCGGCAGCAGGUGUUGGAAAGUUCUUAAUUCAGUAAAAAUACAUGUCUUGCUCGCUCCUUCUCCUCGCACUCUUACAUUUCUAGCUAUGAUACUUAGAGUUGAAGAGUUUGUAAUGAAAAAAAGAGACGUAUGGUGCACUUGAAUUAAGAGCUUUGUUAAUAUUAGCUGCCUGUUAUAUGAUUUUGUGGUGAAAAACUAAAUUAAAGCAUAAAAAAGAGAACUUUGCACAUCUAAAAUAGAACUGGUACGGGGAAAAUAUUGCAAUUAUAAUUCAAUUUAUUAAAUUCCUAUUUAUGAAUGUAUUUUUAAGAGAAGUCACACCAAAGAUAGGCAAUCAUGUUUACUUCAAAGGGAGAAGUUAACUCCACAACGACCAAUUAAUUAAUUAACAAAGAAGAAGAAAGAGCACACGCAACAACUGAUUUUACUUUCCUAAUUUAUAGACACAACUUUUUCAUUACAAAUUACUCAACUGUAGGUAUACUUAUCCUCUGUUUCCAAUAGGUAUGAAUACAAUUUAUAUUGAUCCUUAGUCGUGGAUAAAUAUAUUGGCCAUCUUACGUAGGCUACCAUAUAUAUUUCUGGCCUAACAUCAAAAAUACGAAUAUUUAUCAUCAAAAAGAGUUUUAUUGUUUUGAAAGUAUUCUCCAGCAUGAUUUAGGCACUUUUGUAUGAGCUCAAACCAAUUGUCGAAGCUCCUUUUCCACUCCAAUUGAGACACCUCCGAAACAUGGGAUUAAACGGUUCUGGCUACGAAAAUCGUUGACCACGCAUUUUUUCUUGAUGUAUGGGAAUAAAAAGAAGUCAUUGGGUACCACAACGGGCUGUACGGGGGAUGUCCCAUCAAUUCGACAUUUUGGCCGGUCAAAAAGGCGCUGGUUUGAGGCGAUGUGUGAGAACUCGUAUUUUCAUGGUGAACAAUGAUUCGUAUUCUCUUGUUCGUUGCUCAAAUUUCUCCAAAGACUUCAGACAAACAAAUUGUGAUAUACCCCUCAGAACUGACUGUCAUACGAUGCUCAAGUGGAACAGUCGCCACAUGACCGGUUUUGCAGAAGAAACAGGCGACCAUUUGCUUCGAAGCGCUUCUACCACGAACACCUUUCGUUGGAUUUGGCUCGUCUUCGAAGACCCACACAAUCAAUUGUUGUUUUGUUUCGGACUCAUACGCAUGGAUCCAUGAUUCGUCACCUGUGACGAUAUUAUAAACGUCUUUUGAAACACCGCGAGCGUAUUUUUUCAAAAUUUCUUUGCACCAAUUGAUACGAGCCUUUCUUUGAGUGAUUGUGAAAUUGUGCAGGAUCCAACAGGAACAAACCUUUUUUACGGCCAAGUGUACAUGCAAUAUCAAAUGUAUGCUGCUGGAAUAAAUGUCCAAGGAUGCUUCUAUCUAGCGGGUUGUCAUUUGUCAUAGUGCUAUAAGAUGGUGCUUCAUCGCCAUACAAAAAUUAAAAUGUUCACGACUUAAUUCCAUUUUUUUCCAAAUCAAUUUUUUAAAGUCACUAUAAACAACACUCAUGAUGGCCGUACGUCAAGACAUUCUGAGAACGAUUAUGCUACAAAAAUGUUAAACUUACCAAAGGAAAUGUCGAAUUGCACCUGGCAACACUUUGUGGCCAGAAAUAUAAAUAGCAGCCUACGUAUUAUUUUUAUCAAUAAAUUUUUAUUAUCAUAUACUAAUUUAUAGCUACGCUUUUAAUAAAAAAGUUCUAAGAAAUUUUUUAAUAUUGUAUGAGCAAAAUACUAGGAAUGAUUAUAAUAUUAUGAAUUUAUAUGUAACUUUUUUUAAUUGUGGAGGAAUAAUAUGACAAUGAUAGACUGUGCGUAAAUAAGUGACACAUAGUUGUUGUUAAGAUAAACUUAUUUUCCCGACCACCAACGGAUGUAUGACCUUUUUCCUGUUUAUUUUUGAAAGAAAAGUUGUGCGAUACAAUAAAGAUGACGACGUCUUAAAAAAUAAGAGUAUAAUGGCUAAUCCAAAAAAAUUUAAGAAGUUUCUGUAGUAAAUCAGUAUCGUAGUGAAUUAAAGGAAAAAAGUAGAUAUCCUAAAUUAUUAAUUCAAAAUUUAACUUAAAAUGCAACGCUCCACUUCAAAUUCAAACGAUCAAUCCUAAAUAUUUUAACGACAAAGUAGAAAUUUAAAGCAUUUUUAUAGAAUUUUUGAGCAAAGAGCAGCUUAGCUGUCUGGAAGUUUUAUUUGUUAAGCUGCCGGCAGCUAUGAGAACAAGAAAACAAGCAAAGUGUAAUCAACAAAAUUAUUUUUUUAUUUCCAGAUUACUGAAACAUUUCAAUAGCAAACCUGGGAAGCCUCUUGGGAAGAUACUGAUACCCGAUUGAAAAAUAAGGAAAAAACUAUCAAAUCAUCAUGGAAAAAACGUGUUCUGAACAAGUUUGAAAAAACUAAUAAUCAGAUAUAAGAAAUGUAAUCAUUUGUGUUUAAAACAAUCAACAGAAUCUCAAAAAACUACAGAUCCCCCUUUUAAAUCGAGAGAAAAUGUACGAUAAGUCUGAUGAAACUAUUUAGAAAUCAACGCCUUGAAAGAAAUAGACAACGGGCUCAAGAGUCUGAUGAAACUAAGAUACUAAACAAUAUCAAUUUUAUAUUUUUAAUUGAUAACUUCAGCGAGUAUUCAAGAAAUAUAUACUUUGAUAUAGAUGAGUAGAAUUGUGUAAAAAUAUGACAUUAGACGAGUGCAAGACUUUUUAUACUUGCAACCUCAUAAGUAUUCUCGGAAGUUGUUAUUAUUUAAUUAUUGAUAAGAUAACAUAUAUGUCUAAAGUGCGGAGAUUAACACUGAUGAUUUGUUGCGUAGUUAAAAGUGUAAACUCGGAGUAAAAUUAAUAAUUAGCUAGACAU